rnacentral:rRNA from 1 species
AAGCCCCCGGGCUUAACUAACGUGCCCAGCAGCCAGCGGGUAAUACCGUAGGGGGCAAAGCGUCUUCCGGAUUUCAUUUGGGCGUAAAGAGCCCCGUAGGCGGUUCAGUAAGUUGGGUGUGCAAAGCUCCCGGGCUCAACCCGGAGAGGCCACCCAAUACUGCUGUGACUAGAGUCCAGUAGAGGAGCGUGGAAUUCCUGGUGUAGCGGUGAAAUGCGCAGAUAUCAGGAGGAACACCAUUAGCGAAGGCGGCGCUCUGGGCUGGAACUGACGCUGAGGAGCGAAAGCAUGGGUAGCAAACGGGAUUAGAUACCCCGGUAGUCCAUGCCGUAAACGUUGGGCACUAGGUGUGGGGAGGAAUCAACCCUCUCCGUGCCGUAGCUAACGCAUUAAGUGCCCCGCCUGGGGAGUACGGCCGCAAGGCUAAAACUCAAAGGAAUUGACGGGGGCCCGCACAAGCGGCGGAGCAUGUUGCUUACUUCGAGGCAACGCGAAGAACCUUACCUAGGUUGAACUACGCAGGAAAAGCCACAGAGAUGUGGUGUCCUUCGGGGCCUGCGAUAGGUGGUGCAUGGCUGUCGUCAGCUCGUGUCGUGAGGUGUUGGGUUAAGUCCCGCAACGAGCGCAACCCUUGUCCUAUGUUGCCAGCGGAUCAUGCCGGGGACUCAUAGGAGACUGCCGGGGUCAACUCGGAGGAAGGUGGGGACGACGUCAAGUCAUCAUGCCCCUUAUGCCUAGGGCUGCAAACAUGCUACAAUGGCCGGUACAAAGGGCUGCGAGACCGCGAGGUUGAGCGAAUCCCAAAAAGCCGGUCUCAGUUCGGAUUGAAGUCUGCAACUCGACUUCAUGAAGCUGGAGUCGCUAGUAAUCCCGGAUCAGCAACGCCGGGGUGAAUACGUUCCCGGGCCUUGUACACACCGCCCGUAA